AGCGAACGCUGGCGGCAGGCCUAACACAUGCAAGUCGAACGAACUCUUCGGAGUUAGUGGCGGACGGGUGAGUAACACGUGGGAACGUGCCUUUAGGUUCGGAAUAACUCAGGUAAACUUGUGCUAAUACCGAAUGUGCCCUUCGGGGGAAAGAUUUAUCGCCUUUAGAGCGGCCCGCGUCUUAUUAGCUAGUUGGGGAGGUAAAGGCUCACCAAGGCGACGAUCAGUAGCUGGUCUGAGAGGAUGAUCAGCCACAUUGGGACUGAGACACGGUCCAAACUCCUGCAGGAUGCAGGAGUGGGGAAUCUUGCGCAAUGGGCGAGAGGAUGACGCAGCCAUGCCGCGUGAAUGAUGAAGGUCUGAGGAUUGUAAAAUUCUUUCACCGGGGACGAUAAUGACGGUACCCGGAGAAGAAGCCCCGGCUAACUUCGUG
rnacentral:rRNA from 1 species